GGUUACGACAGAGCGUUUGAGAGGGUCACCAUUAUGGAUACCUUGUUUACAACUUUUCUGUCAAAAUAGAUGCCGACCAGCUGUUGCUUGGCACGAGCAACAUAAAUAAGUUUACAGAAGACGAAAUUACUGCUACAAUUAUUCUUCAUGCUAACUAGUUAUAUCAUUUAUAGAAUAUGACUUCUAUGUUGGAUUGGUUAAUGCUAAGUCAAUUUUGCUUACAUGCCCUGGAUAUCGUCGGAUUGUCUCAUCAGUUUCAAUUGUUCUACAGGUUUGGUAUUGCUGUCCUAGCUUCAGUGGACGAGAGUUCAUGCCGUCCAGCAGCAACAGUGUCCAAACUGGGCAGAUGCUGCCCCUCGUAUGAGAAGUGGCCAGAUCCCAUGUCGCUUCGCGCAUAACAGCUCGUCCUUUAUUCGGAUUGGAACGGACACGGAACAAUUCAGUGAAAGAGUAUCGAUGUGAUGACACCCUUUUGACGAUGUUGGUCAGGGAACCUGUGAUGAUGUGGUGCAAAAAAUGCUACCGGCAUCACUUUCGUUCCGCUAUUGCACUUGACCCGAACAAGGACCGCGACGGCACUGACGAACUUGCGGCAGCGGUGAUGAUGCGUAUCCCUCCUUCGAAAUUGCGGUGCUGAGAUGAUGAUAAGGUAGAAGCUUGUGUGGAAUAAGGCUGCAGCCAAAACGGAAUGAAUAUUUGUUUUCUUUGAACUGGAACGGCAACAGUGGCAGCAUAGACGAUCGUCUCGAACAUGACGACUGCAACGAACCGACAUGGAACCGCGGACAAUAACUUAAAUAACAACUAUGCAUAAGCACAAAUAUACUUAUAGUUUAUUUCCUAAUUAUAAUUGUUACAUCAGGACCGUUCAACAUUUACUCCCCGGCUCAGCCACUACUCUUCCUUCACAAGUGCUCUUCUCGGUGACCCUCAUAUUCAUCUCUUUCUCCUUCUCUUUAUCAUAUAAUUUGUAUGAAAAGUGAAAUAAUGUGGAUAGGGUUUAUCUGCCUCUAUCAAACAUGAAAAAUAUUAUGACGUCAUACAUGUCAAUACUGCAAUCACAUCGUGUGUUAGCUUCCACGAGAAGAUAUAUUCGUUUUUUGAUUAGGCUAGCAUGCAAUGCUGUCUCUAUUGAACCGUUAGUUCGGAGCCGUUGAUUCGUCGACGGCUCUGGAACAGUGGACUCGCAGCCGGCUCCGCAGUUGUUGGAAUGGAGCCGUGAGUGCAGAGCUGUUAGUCCGGAACCGGUUGCGGAGCCCUUGGAGCGGAGCCGGCUACGGAGCCGUCGGAGCGUAGCUGGCUCCGGACCCGUUAGUCCGGAGCCGUUGGUGCGCUCCGAAACGCCCAUCACUAGAUCACAGGACUGUUCUUGGACGGAAAGAAUCUCGUGUGAUGAAAUUCUACGAGAAAUUAAAAAAUAAAAUUAUUUCUUUUUCAUUUCACUAAAAUAUGAAUCAAAUUACCACGUGCUGUUAGAGACUGGUUUGAUGUUAAUCUACGGUUAGAAACGUGUCGUUCGAUAUGAUUUUUUUUAUGUCCAGCCGCUGCAUACAUUUUCCGUCCAGCAUAUGCUCACUAUUUGGCUACUUCAUCCGCUUCUUUAUCGGCUCUCCCUUAUUCCUUAUACACACAUGAUUUUGCAGCAAACUUAAGUUAAUGUCCUGAGAUCGUUUUCCGACGUAACGAUUUUUCAACUCGUACAUGUUGGGUCUUAAUACGAUAACACACGAAUAUUCAUAGCGGAAUCCCUUCUCCACUUUCUACACAAGUCCAGUAGAAAGUACAUAAUUAAAAUUAGAUUUACAAUAAUUGAACAAUUCAACCUAAAACAUCGUACUAUUGCACGAUUGCAAUCCAGUUGCAAUCAGUCGAAUUGUAAACAAACCAGUCCAAUUGUAAACAAACCAUUCCAAUUUGUCUGUCAAAAUUUUUUCAUUCAUUUUUUUAUUGGAAAUCGGCCAAAACAGGCUUUUGUCAUAACCUGUAUAGAGUCUAAUAACCUUGGCGAUACGCAUCUAUUCACUCACACUACGAAACACAAAUAGCAAGCUGUGAGUUUGUUUACUUUUGCAAAUGAAACGAUUGCAAAUAUUCCUGAGUUAAAAAUAUCAAAGAACUCCGUUGUGAUCGGCAUUGUUUGUCGAGUCCAUACAGCGCUCUUUUACUGAUCUGGACAAUCUGGUACGGGUAUGAUUCAUGUUGCAGUACAAACAUUAAAAGAAUAUAAAGCUAAUAAGCCUCCUCAGUGCGAACCAUGUAUCUAAAGGUGCUGGAAACGAAAAGUUAUGCUCGUCAAGUAGCCAUGCCACUCAUAAAUAAGUUUUGCAACCAAUAGCAUGGUAGAUAUUUUUUAGUUUUAUAUUUUUUAUUUUUAGAAUGACCGGUUGGCAGCGCGCAAGGAUGCUGGCUGCCAA